CUCCACUGAUGACCUCUAUUUUGUGCCACGUGUCUGGGCCACUGAUUAUACACUGAUGGGAUUGAGGAACUGAGGAG